CUCUUUCAUUCAGCAAUUCAGACCCAAAAGCCAUAGAAAAAUGGAUGUUCUUAUGGUUGUCACUGUGAUGCUUUUCUCGACUAUCAUCUUCUUGUUGAUCGGUAUAACAUUUUGACUCUUUUAUUUGAAAUGCCAACAACAAUAACAACAAAAAAACUUCAUCCAGUCAGAUUUUGGUGGCAUCCAAAAUCUUGAGAUUGCGGUCCAUGAUUUGAAGGCUGCAGUCCAUGACGUAGUUAUUUCUGUUCAACUUCUUGAGACCAGGCUGUGUCCCGAUUGGGAUGACCUUGAAGAAAGAGGGUACUCGGGCGAUAUCGAGGUUGGAUUUUCAUAUGGGGUUGAAUAUUAGCCGUUGUAUUGACGACGACUUAUCAUAAGUUUUUAUGUUUUUUGGAUCUGUUUUUAUUUAUUUUUGUGCCCCUCUUGAGUCCUAUCUUUAUAUGCAUUUAGAUAGUUAUUCAAGAGAUGAAUUUUAGUGAUAA